GAUGAACGCUGGCGGCGUGCCUAAUACAUGCAAGUCGAGCGAAUGGAUUAAGAGCUUGCUCUUAUGAAGUUAGCGGCGGACGGGUGAGUAACACGUGGGUAACCUGCCCAUAAGACUGGGAUAACCCCGGGAAACCGGGGCUAAUACCGGAUAACAUUUUGAACCGCAUGGUUCGAAAUUGAAAGGCGGCUUCGGCUGUCACUUAUGGAUGGGCCCGCGUCGCAUUAGCUAGUUGGUGAGGUAACGGCUCACCAAGGCAACGAUGCGUAGCCGACCUGAGAGGGUGAUCGGCCACACGGGGACGGAGACACGGCCCAGACUCCUACGGGAGGCAGCAGUAGGGAAUCUUCCGCAAUGGACGAAAGUCUGACGGAGCAACGCCGCGUGAGUGAUGAAGGCUUUCGGGUCGUAAAACUCUGUUGUUAGGGAAGAACAAGUGCUAGUUGAAUAAGCUGGCACCUUGACGGUACCUAACCAGAAAGCCACGGCUAACUACGUGCCAGCAGCCGCCGUAA
rnacentral:rRNA from 1 species